rnacentral:pre_miRNA from 1 species
CGGGGGAGGCCGGAUCCUGGGCUGUGUCCCGGCGCCCUGUGCUCCGGGGCCUGCGCUGUUGGAUUCGCGCUCCCGGCCCCGCAGCCCCCU